GCGCGUCUGACACUCAAGCUUGAACUUGGAGGUGCAACGAGCUGAGCAACUGACUACAAACUCGGAAAAUGUGUAAAUGUGUGACGCGCGGACGCCAACGACGGCAGGGCUUACAGCCCUGUCAGCAUUUCCCAACUGAGCAAGGAAACGAGGACUCAGCAACAGAGGCACACCUGCCGCCCCUCAUCGCGGAGAAGACGCAAUAACCUAAGGGUCCCAGGUCUAUUCUGUCUGCCACAGACAAACGGUACCUACCGUUCACACACCGCGCACGUCGUCUACGUGCUCGUCUCUAACUGGAAGGGUUCUCAUCGCGUGAGGCUGAAAUCCAUCUUCAGAGCAAGGGGGCUGACAGUAAGCCUGGGCGAUUUCUACCCAUCCCUGAGGACUCCCUGCCCCACCAAGCCAUCA
rnacentral:lncRNA from 1 species